UAACUAGAAGCGUGACCUGACUCGUUUAAUGAAAUUAAAAAGAGAGUGUAUGUAAGAAUAUUCAGGUCAACGAUAAGACGACGUGGUACAGAAAAUUUACUUUGUUACAAUUGCCAUUUUGUUUUUUGUGGAUUAGAUAAAAUAGACUCGGGGGCUGACUUUUUACUUAAAGGCGCCGAAUGAAGAAUAAAAAGAAAUUUAGGGGUUGAUUUAGCCCCACUACUCACCAGCCAGGUCUGUAGUUCCAUAUUGGGAUAUAAUAGGAAAGCUACGAGGUCUGGCUAUUGAAAAACGAAACUACGAAAGAGGAUUUGAUUAUAAAAAUUAUUCUACAUUCGAAGGCUCCCCUCCCCUCACCACACAACGUUACAUACGAUUUUUCCAUUGAUCGAAACAGUGCUGGAAGUCUUCUUUGGUGAGUGCCUUCAAGAGCUCUGCCGUUUUUUGCUUUACCUCUUCCAUCGUCUCAAAUCGGGUCGCUUUCAAAGCAGAUUUUAUGUUCGGAAACGAAAAAAGUCGCAUGGUGACGAAUCUGGUGAGUACGGCGGGUUUUCGAGCACUGGAGUGCGCUUACUGGCCAAAUACUGUUCCACAGAUAUUGCGUUAUCAGUAUGUGCGUUGUCCUGGUGCAAAAUCGGGCCGUUUUUUACGAACUCGUUCUCGCAGUGUUGACAAAACUGACAAAUGGUAAGUCUGGUUGACAGUUUGAACAUUUAGAACCUAUUUAGUCAUCACAAUACCGUUAAUGUCGAAAAAAACGAUCAAUAUUGCCUUGAAUUUUGAUUUGCUCUCUCGACCCUCACUAAAGAGCUUACUCCACUCAAAAACACGCACACGAGAUAGAGAAUUGUCCCCAUAGGCCUCUUGCAACAAUUUAUAGCAUUCAGUCGGAAUUUUUUUUAAUUUAACGAGAAAUUUGAGAUUGAUACGUUGCUCCUGUUUUUCAGCACUUGAAAAAAACAUGUUCGUUUCAAACCGCUACUGCACAAAUACUAUAAUAGUGAAGGAAACGUGUUUUGUGACGUGCAUAGACAAGAUAUCUAGAUACCCAACGCACUAAUCGUUUUUCACCCCACUCGUCUAUGGCGCCCUGUAGGCGCGCAGUCUCGUUAUUUAACCAGAUUUGCUGCCAGCUCUCGGACUAUAAUGUAAUCCAUUAAUGAUUAUAUAUAAUCCAUUAAUUUUCCAUUAUUUCUAUAUUUCUUCACUAUUGACGAUUGUAUAUCGUUUAGGCCUGUCCAGUGCCUGAUAUUUCACAGCUUAAACAUUUUCCUUCUUCCGAUCUCUCUGCGGCCUUCGAUCUUGCCCUCAAUUAACAGUCGCAGGAAUUGAUAUUUCGUAUCUUAAAUUACACCAUCGGUCUAAAGUUUUUGCUAAGUCUAUAAUUUGCGUGAUACACAACAGGGGUUGAUAUAGCUCCGCUACUCACCAGCCAGGUGGACAGUUCCAUAUUGAAGUAUAAUAGGAGAGCUAUAUAACAAGAUUUCAGUUUCAGCUUGCCUCGAAUACCCACCUAAAAUUUGCCUAUCCAGCUCUCCUACUAUUAGUAAAAGAAGAAUAAUAAAUUUUCAAUUUCGCCUAUUCUUUAAACUCACUUCUUUUAAUAGGAAUUUACAGAUUGUAUUUCAUAUAACUUGUAUUAAUUAGCUAACAGAUAAAAAAUACAAGAUUUCUAUUCAAUGAUUUAAUAGGCUUGGUUUUGUAAUUAAUCACUGUAUAAAUGAAUUAAUACUAGAAGUGGACGGCGCUAAAUAAUUAAUCAAUUGCUGCUCUAUAGAUUGGUCUUUUGAUUUUGGAUUAUUGCAUCUGAUAAGGAAUUUAUAAAUUAUUGUGGGAGUUAAAUUAUAGGUGUUUAUACAGAGUGGGGUACGAGUAUCAAAUCGUCAGUUAUCUAAGAAGUGACUAUAAAGAUUUUUUCAAACUUUUGGUUUGUAAGGGUUUGUCAUGAAGAUUCUGAAUUUAUAUUGUAUAAUAUUCCAUACAGCUAAUAGUCAUAAUUAUAGCUACAUUUGCAAUAUCUCCACUGAAAUUAGAAUACAAUAAGAUGGUAUUGAUAGAAUAAACUAGUUUAAUUUGUACAAUUUUUAAUAUUGUAUAUCAUUAAAUAAAUUUCAUAACAAGGUUAAGAUAUUAGUAUACACCAAACCCAUGCUAAAUGUUUUUUUUAAUUAAAAUAAGUUUACAGAAAAUCUGAAGCCACUAGAUGUUUGUUCAUAUCAUGGUAAAAAAAAACCAUUUGAGUAGCGAGCAAAUUGGGAGCUUUAAGCAACAUAAAGUACUUAAAUACUAAAAUCCAUGUAAUUUUUGAAACAUUCCAAUACAUAACAUCCUUGAAUGCUUCAUUUUUUCCUUAAUAGCAAUUCCUAAAUAUUGGCAUGUUUUUUUAAAUCCUUCCACAGGUAAUAGUACCUAUGUUUCAUAGUGUGGUGGGGCUUCAUCUUGUUAUUAUCGCCUAAAAGUUUCAAAUAACGGAAUUUCUAAAUUAAAUCGCAAAAGAAAAUACUUACUUGGAUUGGGAUAUAACAAAGCCAACAAUAAAUUUAAAUAUGAUGGACCAAUUAGUUUGUCGCCUACUAUUCCAGCACAUACAUUAAUUUUCUGUGCCUAUUGGUUAUGGGAUUGUGUCAUCCAAAGACAAGUUUUACGUGACCAGGAAUCUACAAUUAUGACGAUUUACGUUUCAAUUAAUAUGAAAAAUUGGCUUCAUUCUAAAACAUUGCCUUAUUUAAACAAAUUAGUUCGAUCUGACCGAAACAUUAAAAUCUUACUUCCUCCUUCAUCAAAUCCAUGGUAACUUUUAAUAUAUAUCAACAUUAAUUGUUAUGAUUGCAGUUAGAGCCAUUUUAAAAUAUAAUUGUAACUUCGGUGGAGAUAUUGCAAAUAUUAUUACAAGUAGUUAAAUGUAACAUUAUAUUAAAAAAGCAGGUACUAUCAUUAAAAACAAAAAAAUCUGACAACAAUGUAAAUCCCAACAUUGUAAAGGCCAAAUUUCAAAACCUUCACUAUCUAAAAUUUAUAAAAAUUAUGAAGCCGUUUUCGAGAUCAAUUAUGUAAACCUCGUAUCGUAAACCUCUCGUACGCUUCAUAAAAUGGGUUUAUCAACAUUCUGAUAAAAAUUAAUAAAUUCAUUUUUUUCUCGAAGUUUUCAAUGAGUGAAUUCAUCAACUCCAGCUACCAUCAUUUGAAUUUUAUUCUAAAAGAAAUUUAUUAAUCUAAGACUUAGUAAAAUAAAAUAAUAAUUCUAAUACUUUAUAGGUAAUAAACCAAAAACAUUUCAUAUCUUAUUUUUUUCAAGAAAGAAAAAAAUACUAAAAUAUUAGCUGCAGCUCUAAAUAUCCAAUUAAUCCGAAAUAUUUAAUUAAUUAAGUAAUAAAAAACCCUUAAUUUGAUAAAUGUAAUACCAAUAUUUAAUUGAUAUAUCACUUACUCUCUUUAAAGGUUACAUUAAAAUAUAUUAGUAUAAAAA